UUUCCUCACAGGCCCAAGGCAUUCUGGGAAGUUGUGCGGGGGACAGGAAAUGUCCUGGGAACUGAGGGAGCCAGUUGUGAGGGGGAGAAGGCCUGUGGCUGGUACGACAGGUAGCAUGGCCAGGUCUGAUUCCCCAGUGAGUCCUCUGCAGAGGCCGGGCCUGUUUAUUCUGAGCACCAGAGGGUGAGUCACCGGGCUUGGUGGGAACAGCCAGUCUGGAGCAGAGCCCGCCGCCCACAACAUCAGCCUUACCAACUUCAGAGCAUUCACGCUUCUGGGGGACAGUGAUAAGCCAGGUCAAAUUCGAGCAAGCGGGUGCUUCUGCCUCAGCAACAACCCACACUCAUCUCUAUGCAGCUGUGGAGAGGGCAAGCACUCUGGUCAGACUGACCCAAGUUCGCUGCUGUGUGCUGUGGAUCUUUCCCCUUGGAUCACCGUAGAGACCCAGUGUGACAAGAGCUGUGACUAUCCCCAUUUUACAGACUGGGAAGCUAAGGCUCGGGGCGACGGCAUGACCUGAGACCCUGAAGCGGGUGAGUGGCGGAGCUGGUGUGUGAACCUGGGAUCGUCUGCCUCCUCCCCCCUUGGCACUGACGUGCGGGACACGCUGUCCUAAACUUUCUAGAGCAGAGAAGCCUGCCAAGGAGCUCACAGGGAAGACAGAUAAGCACCCAUCACAACUAUGCGGAGCAAAAUACUUCUGUUUGAGUCAUAUGUCUGCCUUCCACUUCUGCCGGGAGGCACAUCUGUCGCUGGCUGAACCCAGCACAGUCUGAAAAAGUCACUUCAAGGGAGACGAAUCUUCAGAUAGUGAUUCACAAAUGAAAAUAACUUUGUUUCUCAAAAAGGCCUCUGGUUGCUCCUCACAUGCUCCCCUGCUGUCUAGCUCCAUGAUCAAGAGCUCUGAUUAUUUACUCCUCAGACUUGACUCGACUGCACAUUACAACAGAUGUGGCUGUCAGGUCGACUCACUGGGUUAAAAGAAAACUGAUGGACCCCCCAUGGAUGGCCUGACUGGCUCUGGUUUCUGGCACCUCCCUUCCUCUCGGCCUCAGUUUCCCCAGAGGGACAAGGGGAGUGGGACUCUAUGGUACAGGUCCCUCCCUGUGCUAAGAAGUGGCAGUGGGAGGCCACCUUGUGGGAUGGUGCCGGGCACUUCUAUGCAGGUAGGAGCCCCCAGAACCUGUUCUCCUGAUGGUCCUCCACUGGAGCUGUUUCAAUAUAGGGGGUCCCACCAGAGAUGUGGGAGGAGCUGGUGCAAGGGAGAUGAAAGUCUGGGACCUUCCCUGUGGUUGUGGGAGGGUAUGGGCACCAAUUAUUGUAUGCUGCAUCUAUGAUGGCUUCAUGGAGAUGUCACCAGGGCUCUGGAGUUGGACCUGGCAGGCUGAGUCCCUGGCUCCUCCCCUUACCAACUGUGGGCCCCUGGGGCGAGUCAUGGCUUCUCCGUGGACCUUAGCUUUGGAUCUUAGUUCCUCUCUCUGUACAAGGAGAAGACCAAGCUGCAGGAGGGUGGUCAUGAGGGUUAAAGGAGACGAUGCACACAGAAGGUGCUCAGUGGUGCUGGCGAUUAUGCUCCUGAUGGAACACCACUCUGCAAGCCAAGACCCCUUCAGUGGGGAUGCCAGGUUCACUCUGCAACAAGGGAGUCGAGGCCCCCAGGACAGGUUCAAUCCCUAUCCUCGAACUGGCGCAUCAGAAGUGAAGAUGCCAACCUGUGCCUGACCCAGGUCUGCCUCUGCACCCCCAAUGCUUGGCCCCAGCUGUGGGUCCCUCCCAGUGUGGCCGCCUUCUGUGCAGGCUCCCUGUUCACCUUGCAAGGUGUGCCACAAAGCACAGGGCCAGUCAGACCACCCCCAACAGGGUGACAUCACCACAGGCUCCUCAUCCCCUUCCCUGUGCUGGGAAGGGGCUUUGUGUGGGCUCAGAACUGCAUCUGGAGGAGGGGGACGGGGCAGGAGGCCAUUUCUAGACCUUCCCAUCAGUCUCAUAAUUCGUUCCUGUAAGACUCUGGCUGGAGUUGGGGUGCUCACAGCAGGCCACGAGCGGAGGCCAGGUGGCUGGGGAAGGCAGCUGUCUCGGCGGGUGGAAGGGGCUGACCCGCUGGAUGGAAGCCACAUUACUUCUCUGUGGAGGGUGGGGCUGAGCUCUUGGGGAACCUGACCGUCUGUUCUGGGGGCUGGGACCCCACGUGGCAGGUUGAUCAGGGGCUGGCCAAGGACACCAUCAGCGUUCUGAGGGAGAGAGCAGGUGAGGAGCACCAGGGCUCUCUAGGGAGAUUGUGGUGGGUGUCACCUACCAUCUCCCAAAUCCUUAGUGAAAUGUGGGCCACAGAACUCUGAGAGAAGGGAAGAAUUUCAUUCCCAAGAAGAGGGGACCACCCAAGCUCCAGGAGCGCUGUGCUCACCCCUGGGGGGCGAUGACCCCCCAUGGCCGCAGUCCCUAGCUGGCUUCCACAAGUGCUAGUGUGGAGACCUGGCCAGCAGGGCUGCCUCUGUGAGGAACGUCAAGCAUCCCUUCGAGCAGGGCAGCGUUCUGAGAAGCUGAAAGAACCUCUGCCUUCCAGACAGGACAGAGAUUCUGAUGCCCCUGCCUCCCUCUCACAGCACGCUGGGCCUGAUGGACUGGGGUGCACGUAGCCCUGCAGCUGCUCGCAGGCCAGUGGCCCACAACAGCUUCUGCUGCGUAUCCCCCAGUGACAGGAGGCUCAGUGUACCCAUGCAGGUCAUUUGCAGGGGUCCUAAACUCCCGUCUCCCCCUUGGUGGGCCCAAAGGGUCCCACAUGCUCUGCAUCCUCAGGGAAUUUGAAAACAAUACUGGGUCCAGGUUUCCUUAUUCAGGUAGACAGGCAGAAUCGGAACAUGGGAUGUGAAAAGAGAAGGACACGAUUUUGCCCAGCAAUCUUCACCCUACACAGCUGCUCCUUAGCAAUGGACCCUGCACCCCAGGCUGCCAGGACCCAUCAGAGAGAGCUCCUGACAGCAGAGAGAAACUGGGAUAAGGACAGGACCCAGCCAAGUGCUGCCUUCCUCCCCCGCCACACCAGUGGCUGAAGCAUGAGUGUGUUCCUGCUGGGACACUCACACUCACACACACAUGCACACCUGCCGCACUGACUCAGGUGGGGACUCUGCCCUUCAUUCCUGAGCAGCCACACUCCAGGUCAACAAAUGGGGCUGUGAUGACGUUUCAGCAAUCCAACCAAACUGCUUCAGUGCACCACAGGUACCUGGAAAGGGGCCUGUCCACCUCUCACCCACUCUGACUUGGGGAUAGGGAAACAGUGACAAAAGGCCAGUGUUCAUAGCAUCCUCCAGCCCUGGAGGGACCCAGCCUCCUCCUUCUACACCUCAGGAGUCAGAGCUGAGCCAAGGUUGCUUGGGACAAGCACAACUGGCAACUGCUCCGGAGAGGAACACAAGGUGAAAGACUCGAUGAGACACACGGGGUGUGAUGCUGCACCUGUCUUCUAUUAGCAGCCUGAUAGACACCUGAAGCAGUGACUCAGUGACGUAAAACCAAGGCUAGAAUGGAUGCUUGUGGACUUAGAGACGGAUUCUGGGAGUUCUAUCUGAAGCCUCUCGUCCUUUGUGAACGAUCAAAUGUACAGAAGUUCCAAAGCCACCUCGGGACAUGAGUGGGCAGGUUCUGGCCCCCUGAGACCUGAUGUCUUAUAUGGAAAGUACUUCUCCCUGAAUGAAUAUACAAAUCACCUGGAAUACUGCAAAACAGACUGUGACUCCAUAGGGCCGGGUGGUACCCAAGACGCCAUAUUUCUACUCUGCUCCCAGGUGAUGCCAACGUUCCGGGGAUCACGCUCUUGACCAGCAACAUGCCAGAUUCGACUGGAGUCUCAACGGUAGCAGUCAAGUGACCUGCAGAUGGCCCAUCCGGGACAAACCCAGACCCCAUGCCUGCUAUCUCAUGCUAGGGGUCCACGGUGUCUAGGAGAGUAGCUACCUGAGCCCUUUCAGCCCCUAAUCAAAUUGGUAUUUGCAAAGAGCAAACUCCUGGAUGAUACAAACUCCUCCCACCCCUGAGAAGCACAGCCCCUUCUCAGCCACAGAACUUAGGGGACAGUUCUUAGAUUCUAGUGAGUCAAGAGGAGACGGGGCAGAGGAGAGAUGUGGGGUAAUGAAGAAUCAUAAGCCACGGGACUACUUUUGACUUUGGCUCUCAGUUAGGUGCUGGGGAUACAGAAAGAACAUGAGACAGGCUGUCCUCUUGCAGCCACAGCUAGCAGGUGAGAUCAACACCCACAGAAAUAACCCUGUGACAAUGUGGGAAACGCUCCAUCAGUGACAGGGCUGGAAGACUCCAUGGGCCCCAGAGAGGCUGGAAGGACAACAUGGGACACAUGGCAGGCACCAGGAGAGCUCGCAGAGACAGUGCUAUGGGACUGGGCCUCAGAGGAGGCACGGGGUCUUCCAGACAGGAUAAGACUAGGAAGGGUAUUUCAGGUGUAAAAGUGGGUUGUGCACGGGCAUGCUAUGUCCUGGGAAAGGAGAGUAGCUCAUGCUGCAACAGGCAGAACAUCAACUGAGGGGCCAGAGCAGGCACUGUGCUCAUUACCAGGGGACAGAAAAGGAAGUAGGGUCUAGCUGUGUACAGAUAAGGAGAUUUAAGGCAAAGUCAAUUUAAAACAAAACUCCCCCUUCAUGACCUUCAGUGUGGUAAGAAUUAAAUGAGUUACUCGGUGUCUCUCUUUUUACAUGCAUAAUUCUUAGAUGCAAACAAAUGUCUUGGCAUCUGGCUUUCAUUUCUUAAUAUUAGACAAAGGCAUUUUCCUAGGUGGUUAACAUCACUUAUUAGUGGUCACACAAUAUUCCAUCACAUAGGUGCAUAAAAAUCCACUUAGCCAAUCCCUGGUGCUUGACAUGGCAGUUGUUCCCAAUUUUUCACGAUUAUAAACAAUAUCCUUUCUGAAUUCAACUUUGGCAUAGAUUCUCAGGAAUCAGAAUCAAAGGGUGUGAGUCAAUCAAAAGUUUAUGACUUGUGACAUGUGGCCAGAUACUCAGACUCUGGGAAACCAGCCUUGGAGGAGGCACCUGAGUGGCUCAAAGGGUUUUUGGCCAGAGUAGAGGGGACUGGCUCAGCUCUGAGGCUGGGAUGUGGUUGCCCAUGUUCUGAGCAGGCUCAUGCUGGGAUGGAGAUGCAGCAGCCCUGUAAGCCAUGCAGGUCUGUGUCAGCCAGGAGUGACUGAAUGGGAGAACUGGGCUCCAUCAGCCCUGGGAGAAGCUAUUCUGCAAAUACUGAGCUCUACCACCAGUCCCAAGACAGGAUCAGACCGCAGGAGCAUCAGGACUGUCUCUUAAGAUGGAGAGACUGGAAUCUAGAUCCUGGGCACCAGACCCUGACCUUCUCCAUGGGACCUACAUCAUCUUUGAAGGACACUUGGUACUAGGAAAAAAGACAGCCCAACUGGAUUGUCAGACAAUGUUCCCACAUUUUUCUGUGGCAGGCUGGGACCCUGCGCAUCCCUUCACCUUUGGGGCCCAGCAGCUACCUCCUGAGCAGACCCCAGGUGCUUACCUGCCAGGGCUGGGAUGGUGACCCGGUUCCAUUCCCACGGCUGGUCGUACUCGUCGGCAGGCCUGUCAUCAUCCUGGGGCAGCUUGCUCUCGCGCAGUCGGGGGCUGACCGUGCUCUCUGAGUCCGAGUCCACACUUUGGCCUUCGGGUUCAUAAGGGGUGUCAUAUAACUGGAUGCCUUUGUGCUGAGACCGGACACUUUCCUGCCUCUGGAAUUCUGCAGACAAAAAGGAAGGAAGCAGAGGUGUAAUGGCUGCACGCGGGGAAUUUGGGAUCCCUGCCAGGGACUACCCCUGGGUCCAGAGUGGCUGGCCAGGGAGGUGAGGACAGCACAGGAACAGCUCCUUUCUGUUUCCUGCAGCCUAGGCGCAGGGCAGGCAGCAUCUCUGCUCUCCCUGGGGGUGGGUGGGGGAGUUGCUCACAAAGAUCACAGGUUCUUGGGUGGACCUCAGGACAGCCCUGGACACCAGGUGCAGGUGUAUUCUGACACUGCCCAGCCCUCUUGCUCGACAGCCAUGUGGGGACACUCCCCACCGGAGCAGUUCACCCCCCUCACUAGACCUUCAAGUCACACUGAACAAUGAGAAGAUUUGGGUUAAAUGAUCCUCAAGUUCCCGCGUAGCUCACAGAUUCAGGUAAAAGAACCAACAAGCAAACUAUUUCCCUGAGAUGACCCAGGGCCACCAUCUUCUGCCUACGACACCCUUCCUUACAGUUCUGGUCUCCCCCCCAGAGCCUGCACACCUCCACCCAGGCUGAACACCCCUGGGAAUUUCAGAGAUGCUUGGUUUCACUUCCGAAUGAGGAACAGGAGCUUGUGAUCUUCAGGAGAAGGUGUGAAAGCCUGGUCCAGGGUGGGCUGAGGGCUGACUGUCCAUCUAGUUGAGAGCCCAGAUGGGGGCCAUGCAUAUCAGCUGGGUAUUUAUUUAUACCAGGAGAGGCAGGAGCAGCUGGAAGGACGGAUGCUAGGAUAUGCACUCCAGGGGCCCCCAGGUCAAACAGGGAACCUGAGUUUCUUGAUCUUGAAUACCCACUGUGUGCAGGGUCCAUGCUGGGGACCUGGGGAGGGUUCACUGCCAAGGCUGUGCCUGAGAAACCCAAAUUUCCAGGGGACAGCAUGUGCCUAAAUCACCGUGAUACUCGGGGGCAAAGGGAUCGCAGUGUGGGACCUGAGAGGGGGAUGGCAGGACAAAGGAGAGAUGGCAGAUGACAGCUCUGACAGGUGGAAACAGGAGAGGGAGGGCCUUCCCUGUGGCAGGAACAGGUGGCCAAGGCAAUGGGAUGGAGAGCAUGCUCACUGCCUACCUUGGCUUCUUAUCCAAUGAGAUGGAUAUGGCAAGUGACCAUUUUAGUCGUUAAGUAUGCAGCUCAGCAUCAUUAAGUAGGUCCACACUGUUGGACAGCCAUUCCAUCAUCUGUCUCUAGAACUUUCUCAUCUUCCCAAGCUGAAACUCUGUGCCCGGUAAACCAUGACUGCCCCACCUCUGCUCUCCCCAUUCCCUGUCAACCCCCAGGUCUCCAUGGCUCUGACUACUCCAGGAACAGCCAUCAAGUGAAAUCAUUCAGCAUUUGUCCUGUGACAGGCUGAGCAAUGUUUCAUCAGACGACUCUUCACUGUCUGCUCUGAUGUCCCAGGCAUGCACAGAAACACCCCAGGCAGCAGAGGGUGAGCUCUGUGGAAGCAGAGGUGUGGAACAAGAAGAGUGGGCCCCAGGCAGCGGCCCAGGGCCUGUUGCUACUGGCCAACCUGCCCUGCUUGCUCUUAUGUGCUCAGCCUGAGGGCGAGGGAAAGGCCCGGGUCUGGAGUAGGAAGCUUGGUUUACUCCCAUCCCUUGGCCAUCUGUACAGGGACAGAGUCUUCUCACGAGCCCCUCUGGCCUUGAGUACCAGAGGGUAGACAAAGACCUCGCAUCUGAUGACAAAUGUGCUUUCAUCAGGAUUUGAAAGGCCACUUGGGCCUCGGCCCAGAGCUCACGGGCUCUCGGUGACAUUACCUCUGUGUCCUAUCCCAGCCCAUCACUCUGCAUCUUCCAGCGACUGCCUUCACGUGCAGAGGAUUCUGGGCAGCUGCAGGCCCAGCAGCUGGUGCCGUCCCCGGCGAAGACUCACUGAGGCGGGGUCACUGUUCCAGGAACCCAGGGAAGUGAGUGACUGGGUCUCCCUUUAAGGAGUCGAUUUCUUAGGAGAUGCCAUUUUGAUUCCAGGUUGACUGCAAGACCUAACUUCACGGGCAAGUGGGGAGUCUGCCUGCUUUUCUUCCUCACUCACAGAGCCCCAACUGUGUGCUACACUGGGCUCCUAGCCAGAUGCUGAGUGCCAGCCCAGUGUCUGGUGAAGCUGGGGGUCCUCAGUGAACGCUGGUGUGGCAGGAGAACCAGGAUGCCACCAUCCAUAAACAAUGAGUUAAUAAUGGUUACCAGUCACUAAGCACCUGCUUGUGUCCCAGGCACCAUCCUGGGUAUUGGGAGUAAAGUACUGCUCAUUCUCAAGACACACAGAGGCAGGAGUAGAUUAAGCAUCCCUGAAAAAUCAAAUUGUAAAACUCUUUGAGCAUCUAUAGGGUGCCACAAAUGGGAAAUUCUACACUUGACAUCAUGUAACUGGUCGUGGUCAAAAUGCAGGCAUACUAAAAACACUGCACAAUUAUCUUCAGGCAAAGGGUAUGGGGUGUACAUGAAGCAUAAGUCAUUUUCAUAUUUAGACUUGAGUCCCAGCCCCAAGAAACACUAACACCGUGCAGGUACUCAUUAUAUUAAGUGCAAAUACCCAAGUCCAAAAAAAUCCCCAAAUCCAAAAAUGCUUCUGUUGCAAGCAUUUUUGAAUUCUUGACUGUAUUAUUUCCCAUGCAGAAACUGAGGCUCAGACAAAUGAGGCUCAGCUGGAAAUAAUCCAGUUCUGACUGUUGUAAACACCUUAAAAGUGGUACGUGCAUUGGCAGCCGGGUGGAGGUAAAAAAAUAACCCAGUUCCUAGAGUUUGGAAAAAUUUCAGGAAGGUGGUAGCAUUUCAGAGUCUUAGGUCCUUGUGUAAGAAGAGCCCUCGAGGAUCAGGGAAACAGAGGGACUGCCUACUAUCACAAACAGAGAAGGACAAGCCCAGAAGGACAUAAUCAAGAAGAGUAGGAAGGCUUGGGUAGUUGAAAAUGAGGUCACCAGGACAAAGGGCAAACGAGGAAGGGCAAGCACGAGCAAAGCGGUGGAGAGAGGAAAGCCAGAGGAUUAUCAGAUAGAACCCAACAGCCUGUGCUGCCUUCAGCCUGGUGCUCAUCAUUGGGAACGGGAUGUGGUGACCAGAAUGGAUGGAGCUGGGCUAAGGAGAGUGUGGAAGUCACAGGAGGGAUGCUACUUUAAAAGGCAGGAAAUUGGAAAAGGGGGGCCAGGAGCCUUAAUCAGGUCUUUAAUGCAAACCCUUAUAGUGGAUUACAAUUCCCCAAGUGGGCAGGACACGCAGGGGUGCGUGUGGUACUCAGUUGUAUAUAAUCCCAAGGUAGGACCCUCUGAAAAAUUAGGGCUCCACCUUUUCAAGGGAUGGAGAGAGGACAUGCUCCUGUGAGCAACCCCCAGAUGUGGAGAUGCAGACAUUCCCCCUGGGAUGAGGGCCAGGGUCAGGCACCUAAUCCUCAGAGGGUGGGUGACCCUGGACUCUUCAUGCUGCAAAAAAGAGGCCAAGGAGGGGCUUCCAGACCUGUAUCCAGCCUGAGUCUUCUGAGUGUUGACAAGUGGACCUGUGCAGAGGGCCAGCACCCCACAGAUACAAUCUUCCGGUCUGCUGGGCAAAGUGAGGUCUCAGCUUCCAGAGGGGCCUGGGGGCCGCUUUAAUGUGAUGAAGCCACAGGGUGACGGGCUUUCAUGCCUGACCAGUCAUAGCUAGGGGCUUUACUCCUUAUGGAGCAGCUUCACCUACAUGUUCUCAGGGAACCUUGGAGCAAACCUUGGAGGAUCCACAAUGUGAAGGCCCCUUGCCAUCUGCCUGAUAAAAGCCUGCAGCUUACACAAGAGGGGUGGGAAGAGUUGGGCCUCAAUUACACAGCGGUGCCCACGUGCUAAGUGCAUUCUUAUUUAAUUCUCCCGACAGUUCUAUGAGGUACCACGUGGACUGCAAAAUGAGCUGUGGACAAAGGCUGCCCAGCUCUGGAGACCAUGCUCUUGGCCAUGUGGCCCUCUACACCAUCUUCCUAGCCCAAGUCAGUGCUCCCUCCACUCCACUAGGAACAAAAAGACACAAACUUGGUGCUCAGGUCAGUAAGGGAAGCAAACCCUGGAGGGCCCUGGUCCAUCAAGCUGAGUGAUGCCAGGCAAGCUAUUUCCUGCCUCUGGCUGACAGUCUGCUUAUCAAACUGGUAACUGGGGCCAUCUUGGGGGUCCCUCCAGGCAUCAUUACAAUCAGUCUGAAGGCAAGCAGAGAGCUGUCGAUCAGGAGGUAUUCAGCACAUUCUAGAUGCUGCACAGGGGCGGCCAAGACAUGCUGCUGGUCCCAGUCUGGCUGGCACUAAGCCAGUGGUUAAACUGGUAGCAGGUGCAGGGGACCACUUCCCAGGGCAAAGCCAAGCAUAAUUCUUCACCUCACUUGUACCUGAUGGCCCUGGUCACUUAUAUUAAAGCACCCUCACCACCUGUCAUGUUUCCCAGCUAUACAGGUCAACCCCACCUAUAUGCCUAGGGCUGGUCAUGGGGUCACUGUCUCAUACCGAGGGGGGUGAUGUUGGCAUCAAGCCCCCAUGCUCAGAGCAGCUGCCCCAGCGGAAGCAACCUGCUGAGAUCUGGCAAGUUCUCUGCCCAGCUUCCCUACCCUGGAACUUCUUCAAGGGAGCAACUAAUCCCCCUAGGGACCCAGAGACAACUCAGCCUUCUGGACAGCAGCACUGAGGCUGCUGGCCCAGGACCAGCCUGGCUCUCCGCUCACCGGCUGUGUGACCUUGGCCAACUGCCUGCUCCACUGGGGCUCAGAUCUCUCCCAGGUGAGGUAGAGGAGUUGAACCAGAUGAUCUCAGGGGCCUUUCUCACUCAGUCUGGUUCCAUGAAGAGCAGGUAUUCACAGAGGGCUUCCUGGUCCAAGUGCUGUGGCUCCAUCUUUGGAAGGAGGCAGGAGGCAUACAAGAGAGCACCUACCCUACCAGCACGGGGGUCGCUGGCCUCAGCAUCCCAACCACCCUCAGCAAACCACUUCAAGACACGGUCAUAAUAUGCAAUGGGAACACUGCCCAGUGAGAAGCUCCACCCCACUCCCAGCUGUGCUUUCCCAUCUGGGGUAGUUCAUCUGUGUCAACUUGGCUGGCCUAUGGGAUGCCUAGAUAUUAGGAUGACCGUUAGUCUAUAAGAGUAUUUUUGGAUAGGAUCAAUAUUGAAAUUGGUGGAGUGAGCAGAUUGCUGUGCCCCCACUGUGUGGGUAGGCCUUAUCUAAUCCAUUGAAGGCCCUGCAUAGAACAAAAAAUGCCAGCCCUUCCCUGAGUAAAAGAGAAUUCUGCUUGUCUGCCUUUAAAUGGGGACAUUGGCUUUCUUCCUGCCUUUGGACUUGAACUACACCACUGAUUCUGAUUCCAUGCAUCCAAAUUUGGACUUGAAGUACACCACUGACUUUGCAGCUUGCCAACUCACCUGCAGAUCUUGGGACUUGCCAGCCUCUGUCAUCACGAGAGUCAAUUCCUUAAAAUAAAUCUCGGUCUC